ACCGAUCACAAACCUUUGACGUGGUUAAACAAUCUCAAAGAGCCUAACAUGAAGUUACAAAGAUGGAAAAUUCUUCUUAACGAGUACGAUUUUGACAUAACCUAUAUAAAAGCAAAACACGACAGAAAUCCAGUUAAACAUCCUUAUCAAAUAACAGAAACUCCAAAGUAUUUCAACGACCUAGUCCACAUAGAUAUUUGGUUUCCAUACAGAAAUGUAAUGUAUCUCACAACAAUAGAUAAAUUUUCAAAAUACGCAACGUUCCAUAAACUUAACGACAGGAAUUGGAUUGCGAUCUUGGCAGCUUUGAAGCAACGUAUACAAUUUUUAGGCAAAAUGCGGAAAUUAGUAUUUGAUAACGAACGCUGUAUAUUGCACAGCGCAGUAAGAUUGUUUUUGGAAGAGGAAAACAUUGCGACACAUGUAACCACCCCAUGGCACAAAACAGGUAACUCUGACAUCGAACGUUUACACGGUACUCUAAACGAACAUUUGAGAAUAAUAGAAGCAGAUAAAAGCAAUAAGACAGUAGAAUUAAGUGACAAAUUUUUCAAAAUAUUUAACUCGUACAAUAACACAAUACAUUCAACAACAAAAAUGAGGCCAAUUGAUUUUAUAAUUAAAAAUUUUGACAAAGAAUCGAUUCAGAACUUAUCUAGAAAAUACGAAGAGGAAAAAAUUUAAAGAAGCAAUCAGUUUAACAAAAAGAGGCACCAUGAGUCAAUUCAGUUGGAUAACGUAGUAGUUAACAGACAAAUUGCAAAGAAUACACCUAAAUACAAGAAAUUGGAUAAAUAUGAGCGUCAUGGUAAUUAUGUAAUAGACACAUCAAAUAAAAGAAGAACGAAAUAUUAUAAAACACAAUUGAAACCCAAAUAUAAAUUCCAAAAUGAAUGAAGAGAAAAUUUAUGACAAAUG